UACAGAGGUCUCAAGCGUUGUUCGGAUUCAUUGGGCGUAAAGGGCGCGUAGGCUGCGGGGUAAGUCGGGUGUGAAAUCUCAGGGCUCAACCCUGAAACUGCACUCGAUACUGCUCUGCUUGAGGACUGGAGAGGAGACUGGAAUUCACGGUGUAGCAGUGAAAUGCGUAGAGAUCAUGAGGAAGACCAGUGGCGAAGGCGGGUCUCUGGACAGUUCCUGACACUGAGACACGAAGGCCAGGGGAGCAAACGGG
rnacentral:rRNA from 1 species